rnacentral:rRNA from 1 species
AAACCGUUCAGGGGUAAACCUGAGAAACCCAAAAGAUCGAAUGGAGAGAUUCAUCGUCAACGGCACUGGCUCCCGUUGGUGCGCGAUGCCCCGAAUGGGACCAUUUGGUUCCACGGCGAGGUCACACCACCUUCGGCUUGAAUGUUCCGGUGCCGUAGUCGUGCACUUCUCCCCUAGUAGAACGUCGCGACCCGUUGUGUGUCGGUCUACGGCCCGAGCGGGCGCCUGUCGCGUCGCUUCGCGCGUACGCGGCAGACCCUCGGUUGCCUGGCCGGCUGCACGACGGUACUCCCACGGUAUCGGGCCGCAACCAAUCCAUUCUCGAAUGUCUGUGCGUCAGGCCCGCCGCAAGCUCGGUCAGUUUUACCCGGAGGUGCGGACCUAGUGCCGUCCCCGGGCCUGGCCAGCUGUUAGCAGGCGGUGUCCUCGGACUGGCCAAGCUUUGAAUUACCGGUCGGCGACGCUAUUGCUUUGGGUACUCUCAGGACCCGUCUUGAAACACGGACCAAGGAGUCUAACAUGUGCGCGAGUCAUUGGGAUGUAUAAACCUAAAGGCGCAAUGAAAGUGAAGGUCGGCCUUUGCGUCGAUCGAGGGAGGAUGGGCCGCGUUACGAUACGGCCCCGCACUCCCGGGGCGUCUCGUUCUCAUUGCGAGAAGAGGCGCACCCAGAGCGUACACGUUGGGACCCGAAAGAUGGUGAACUAUGCCUGGUCAGGACGAAGUCAGGGGAAACCCUGAUGGAGGUCCGUAGCGAUUCUGACGUGCAAAUCGAUCGUCGGAACUGGGUAUAGGGGCGAAAGACUAAUCGAACCAUCUAGUAGCUGGUUCCCUCCGAAGUUUCCCUCAGGAUAGCUGGCACUCGCUUGUUCCUUUCGAACGCGUGCGAGUCUCAUCUGGUAAAGCGAAUGAUUAGAGGCCUUGGGGCCGAAACGACCUCAACCUAUUCUCAAACUUUAAAUGGGUGAGAUCUCUGGCUUGCUUGGAUCAUGAAGCCACGAGAUUUUUUGGAUCAGAGUGCCAAGUGGGCCAUUUUUGGUAAGCAGAACUGGCGCUGUGGGAUGAACCAAACGCAGAGUUAAGGCGCCUAAGUCGACGCUUAUGGGAUACCAUGAAAGGCGUUGGUUGCUUAAGACAGCAGGACGGUGGCCAUGGAAGUCGGAUCCGCUAA